UUCGAGCGUCAUUACAACCCUCAAGCUAUGCUUGGUAUUCGGUCCUGCCUGCUAGGCAGGCUGUAAAAUCAGUGGCGGUGCUAACCGGCUCCAGGCGUAGUAAAUCACCUCGCCUUAGGAUGUCUGGGUAUGUACCUGCCAGCAACCAUAAUUUCUAACAGGUUGACCUCGGAUUAGGUAGGGAUACCCGCUGAACUUAA
rnacentral:misc_RNA from 1 species